rnacentral:rRNA from 1 species
GACGAACGCUGGCGGCGUGCCUAACACAUGCAAGUCGAGCGGGGUGAAUUCCUUCGGGAAUGAAACUAGCGGCGGACGGGUGAGUAACACGUGGGUAACCUGCCUUAUAGAGGGGAAUAGCCUCCCGAAAGGGAGAUUAAUACCGCAUAAUAUUGAAACUUCGCAUGAAGUUUCAAUCAAAGGAGCAAUCCGCUAUAAGAUGGGCCCGCGGCGCAUUAGCUAGUUGGUGAGGUAACGGCUCACCAAGGCGACGAUGCGUAGCCGACCUGAGAGGGUGAUCGGCCACAUUGGGACUGAGACACGGCCCAGACUCCUACGGGAGGCAGCAGUGGGGAAUAUUGCACAAUGGGGGAAACCCUGAUGCAGCAACGCCGCGUGAGUGAUGAAGGUCUUCGGAUCGUAAAGCUCUGUCUUCAGGGACGAUAAUGACGGUACCUGAGGAGGAAGCCACGGCUAACUAC